rnacentral:rRNA from 1 species
UACGUAGGGGCCAAGCGUUGUCCGGAUUUAUUGGGCGUAAAGAGCUCGUAGGCGGCUUGUCACGUCGAUUGUGAAAGCUCGGGGCUUAACCCCGAGUCUGCAGUCGAUACGGGCUAGCUAGAGUGUGGUAGGGGAGAUCGGAAUUCCUGGUGUAGCGGUGAAAUGCGCAGAUAUCAGGAGGAACACCGGUGGCGAAGGCGGAUCUCUGGGCCAUUACUGACGCUGAGGAGCGAAAGCGUGGGGAGCGAACAGG